CUUUGGAUACGACGGAGAUCCAAGGCGGAAGGAG
rnacentral:ncRNA from 1 species